GACGAACGCUGGCGGCGUGCUUAACACAUGCAAGUCGAGCGGUAAGGCCCUUUCGGGGGUACACGAGCGGCGAACGGGUGAGUAACACGUGGGUGACCUGCCCUCAGCUCUGGGAUAAGCCUGGGAAACCGGGGUCUAAUACUGGAUAUGACUCCAUGACGCAUGUUGGUGGGGUGGAAAGCCUUGUGCGGCUGAGGAUGGGCCCGCGGCCUAUCAGCUUGUUGGUGGGGUGANGGCCUACCAAGGCGACGACGGGUAGCCGGCCUGAGAGGGCGACCGGCCACACUGGGACUGAGACACGGCCCAGACUCCUACGGGAGGCAGCAGUGGGGAAUCUUGCGCAAUGGGCGAAAGCCUGACGCAGCGACGCCGCGUGAGGGAUGACGGCC
rnacentral:rRNA from 1 species